GGGUUGUGAGGUUAAGCGACUAAGCGUACACGGUGGAUGCCCUGGCAGUCAGAGGCGAUGAAGGACGUGCUAAUCUGCGAAAAGCGCCGGCGAGGUGAUAUGAACCUUUGACCCGGCGAUGUCCGAAUGGGGAAACCCAGUGUGAUUCGUCACACUAUCGUUAACUGAAUACAUAGGUUAACGAGGCGAACCGGGGGAACUGAAACAUCUAAGUACCCCGAGGAAAAGAAAUCAACCGAGAUUCCCCCAGUAGCGGCGAGCGAACGGGGAGCAGCCCAGAGUCUGAAUCAGCUUGUGUGUUAGUGGAAGCGUCUGGAAAGUCGCACGGUACAGGGUGACAGUCCCGUACACGAAAAUGCACAGGUUGUGAACUCGAAGAGUAGGGCGGGACACGUGGUAUCCUGUCUGAAUAUGGGGGGACCAUCCUCCAAGGCUAAAUACUCCUGACUGACCGAUAGUGAACCAGUACCGUGAGGGAAAGGCGAAAAGAACCCCGGCGAGGGGAGUGAAAAAGAACCUGAAACCGUGUACGUACAAGCAGUGGGAGCACCUUCGUGGUGUGACUGCGUACCUUUUGUAUAAUGGGUCAGCGACUUAUAUUCUGUAGCAAGGUUAACCGUAUAGGGGAGCCGAAGGGAAACCGAGUCUUAACUGGGCGUUAAGUUGCAGGGUAUAGACCCGAAACCCGGUGAUCUAGCCAUGGGCAGGUUGAAGGUUGGGUAACACUAACUGGAGGACCGAACCGACUAAUGUUGAAAAAUUAGCGGAUGACUUGUGGCUGGGGGUGAAAGGCCAAUCAAACCGGGAGAUAGCUGGUUCUCCCCGAAAGCUAUUUAGGUAGCGCCUCGUGAACUCAUCUUCGGGGGUAGAGCACUGUUUCGGCUAGGGGGCCAUCCCGGCUUACCAACCCGAUGCAAACUACGAAUACCGAAGAAUGUUAUCACGGGAGACACACGGCGGGUGCUAACGUCCGUCGUGAAGAGGGAAACAACCCAGACCGCCAGCUAAGGUCCCAAAGUCAUGGUUAAGUGGGAAACGAUGUGGGAAGGCACAGACAGCCAGGAUGUUGGCUUAGAAGCAGCCAUCAUUUAAAGAAAGCGUAAUAGCUCACUGGUCGAGUCGGCCUGCGCGGAAGAUGUAACGGGGCUAAACCAUGCACCGAAGCUGCGGCAGCGAC
rnacentral:rRNA from 2 species